GAUGAACGCUAGCUACAGGCCUAACACAUGCAAGUCGCGGGGCAGCAUGUCGGUUGCUUGCAACCGAUGAUGGCGACCGGCGCACGGGUGAGUAACGCGUAUCCAACCUACCCCCACGGUGAGGGAUAACCCGCGGAAACGCGGCCUAAUACCUCAUGGUCUCCGAGUUUGACAUCAACCUUGGAGUAAAGAUUCAUUGCCGUGGGAUGGGGAUGCGUCUGAUUAGCUUGUUGGCGGGGUAACGGCCCACCAAGGCAACGAUCAGUAGGGGUUCUGAGAGGAAGGUCCCCCACAUUGGAACUGAGACACGGUCCAAACUCCUACGGGAGGCAGCAGUGAGGAAUAUUGGUCAAUGGGCGAGAGCCUGAACCAGCCAAGUAGCGUGCAGGACGACGGCCCUAUGGGUUGUAAACUGCUUUUAUAAGGGAAUAAAGUGAGUCUCGUGAGACUUUUUGCAUGUACCUUAUGAAUAAGGACCGGCUAAUUCCGUG
rnacentral:rRNA from 1 species